rnacentral:rRNA from 1 species
UACAGAGGUCCCAAGCGUUGUUCGGAUUCACUGGGCGUAAAGGGCUCGUAGGCGGCCAACUAAGUCGGAUGUGAAAUCCCCAAGCUUAACUUGGGAACUGCAUCCGAUACUGGAUGGCUUGAAUCCGGGAGAGGGAUGCAGAAUUCCAGGUGUAGCGGUGAAAUGCGUAGAUAUCUGGAGGAAUACCGGUGGCGAAGGCGGCAUCCUGGACCGGCAUUGACGCUGAGGAGCGAAAGCUAGGGGAGCAAACGGG